rnacentral:rRNA from 1 species
GCCAGCCCGCUCAGAAACUCAAAGGAAGUUGACGGGGCCCGGCACAAGCGGUGGAGUAUGUGGUUAAUUCGAUGCAACGCGAAGAACCUUACCUGGUCUUGACAUCCCGGAGACCCUUAGGAAACUAGGGGUGCUUCCAUCUGGAAGAAUCUGGAGACAGGUGCUGCAUGGCUGUCGUCAGCUCGUGUCGUGAGAUGUUGGGUUAAGUCCCGCAACGAGCGCAACCCUUGCCUUUAGUUGCCAGCAGUUCGGCUGGGCACUCUAAAGGGACUGCCGGUGUUAAACCGGAGGAAGGUGGGGAUGACGUCAAGUCCUCAUGGCCUUUAUGACCAGGGCUACACACGUACUACAAUGGCCGAUACAAAGGGCAGCGACACUGCGAGGUGAAGCCAAUCCCGUAAAAUCGGUCUCAGUCCGGAUUGGAGUCUGCAACUCGACUCCAUGAAGUUGGAAUCGCUAGUAAUCGUGGAUCAGCAUGCCACGGUGAAUACGUUCCCGGGCCUU